rnacentral:lncRNA from 1 species
UUCCCCCUAGGGACUGAGCUGCAGCAGGAUCAAGGGACCCAUUGUCCCCCACCAGGGUGCUCCGGCCCUCAGGAACCCCUUGGAUCAACAGAAGAGACAGGUGUCCCAGUGAGAGCAGGGAUCCUGGAGAGGGGUUCUUGGGGAGGGGUCUGUGGGCUGAGGGGUGAUGGGCUAUGAAGGGUUUCCUGCGGGUGUUUGAGGGUGAGGGUCACCUCCAGGCCAGGACUCCUCCUUCCUGCCCCACAGGGUGAAAAGGGCCCCAUUUGUCUGCCUGGCUGUGAUAGGGUGCAGAGUCGUGUGUGAUUUCCCGGUCCUGCUGGGCCUCCAGGUGUGGCUGGAGAAGACGGAGACCAAAAGAAGAACCCCAGAGAACCCAGCCAAUCUUCUCUCCACAUGAGAGGGGCGAGGGCUCUCCUGGACCCCCUCGACUCAUUGGUCUGUGGAACAGCCUGGAGCAGUGGGAGCAGACUGGGAGCCCGGAGCUCAGGGACCCCAGGGACACUUUGGAGCCAGAGUGUGGGGAACCAAAGGCAAUAAAGGAACAAGAGGAUUCACAGACCUACAGCUCUGGUGUAUCUGUUCCCUCCGCAAGGACUACCUGGACCCAGUGGCACUGAUGUGAGUCAUCCCAGCCCCUGUCCCUUCAGAUCAAUGUGUCUGAUCCUCUGCCCCCCUUUCCCCAGAUCAUAAACUCUUCACCCCUGAGAAGCCCCUUCCCCUGGGAGGCCUCUACCGUCCCACUGCCAUGACCUUGGGGCACUCAUCUGGGCCUCUGCCCCUGCAAUAACCCCACCUCCCAAAGCAAUGACACCUAUUUCUCUUCCUCUUUCACAUCCACAGGGUCCCCUGACAGGUAUUGGGGACCUGGGUCCUCCUGGAGAGAAGGUAAUUGGGAAAGGGGUGAAGGGGAUGAAGGG